rnacentral:lncRNA from 1 species
CCUGAGCCCACCGAGGACACCCAAGCAAGCAUUUGGCCUGUAAAGGCCAAACUGAAGGCCAAGUUGACUCCACAGUGGGAUGGGAGGGGGACUCCCAGCCGGUAGUUCCAGGACCAUUCUGGAGGAGGGCUCAGGAGAACAGGAAGUGGUCUGCAGUGGUGCCCAGCGCUGUCCAGGAUCUGUUUGGAGAAGGAGACCAUAAUGAAUCCUGUCCAUCCUUCCAAAGGCAGGCGUCGUCUCUCUGCUGUGUGGAUGGGACAAUGAAGUUCAGUGUUCCUAGUGAAUCUUUGGACUCACUGUAGACUAAAAGGUUCCAAAUGUCAUGUCUGGAGCUUUCUUACCUUGCUAGCCAUUGAGGGUCAUCCACCUCCGCUGUGGUGGAUGAGCCAGUGAACCACACCAUGGAAAAUAGGCGGUGGGUGCCCAGUAGCUCUGGCAAGAGGACAUCUCCUGCAGCAUACCCAAGUCUGCCAUCUGUGCUACCGUGGGGCUGGAAGGAACCAGGAGGCGGCUUUGACUCCCACUCAUCCCAAUAAACGAUAGCCAGACAUGCAAAGAAAGGGGUCCAUUUGUAGUAAAAGGGCAUUUUAAUUAUUAAUAUGUUUGUCUAUUUUUAAAAUCUUGGGCCUGGAGAUGGCUCCGA